UCGCAGCUUGCGCCGGCAGUCCCGACAGAGUCCUCAACUUCGCUUGUUAGCAACUGUCGGUAGGGGUUGCGCUCGUUAUGGCACUUAAGCCGACACCUCACGGCACGAGCUGACGACAACCAUGCAGCACCUCGCAACCGGCCCCGAAGGGCUGACCGCUUUCGCGGACAUUCCAGUCACGUUUGAGCCCGGGUAAGGUUCCUCGCGUAUCAUCGAAUUAAACCACAUGUUCCUCCGCUUGUGCGGGCCCCCGUCAAUUCCUUUGAGUUUCACCGUUGCCGGCGUACUCCCCAGGUGGAAUGUUUAACGCUUUCGCUGUGCCACCCAACCCCGGAGGGUCGGACAGCUGACAUUCAUCGUUUACUGCGUGGACUAC
rnacentral:misc_RNA from 1 species